rnacentral:tRNA from 1 species
GUGGCUAUGACAGAAUUAUAUGUGUUAGCUUUAAGCGCUAAUUAUGGGGCUCAUCCCUAGUCACU